CAAUAGCGUAUAUUAAAGUUGUUGCAGUUAAAAAGCUCGUAGUUGGAUCUCGGGUUUGGGCUUGCGGUCCACCGCGCGUGGUUACUGCUUGUCUCGACCUACCUCCCGGUUUUGGCUUGAUGCUCUUCGCUGAGUGUCUCGUCUGGCCGGAACGUUUACUUUGAAAAAAUUAGAGUGUUCAAGGCAGGCAUUUCGCCUGAAUAAUGGUGCAUGGAAUAAUGGAAUAGGACCUCGGUUCUAUUUUGUUGGUUUUCGGAACUUGAGGUAAUGAUUAAGAGGGACAGACGGGGGCAUUCGUAUUACGGUGUUAGAGGUGAAAUUCUUGGAUCGCCGUAAGACGAACUACUGCGAAAGCAUUUGCCAAGAAUGUUUUCAUUAAUCAAGAACGAAAGUCAGAGGUUCGAAGACGAUUAGAUACCAU
rnacentral:rRNA from 1 species